rnacentral:rRNA from 1 species
AAUUUGCACAUGGAGGAAACUCUGAUGCAGCAACGCCGCGUGGAGGAUGACACAUUUCGGUGCGUAAACUCCUUUUAUAUGGGAAGAUAAUGACGGUACCAUAUGAAUAAGCACCGGCUAACUCCGUGCCAGCAGCACGCAGGAUAAUACA